rnacentral:rRNA from 1 species
UGGGGAAUAUUGGACAAUGGGCGCAAGCCUGAUCCAGCCAUACCGCGUGGGUGAAGAAGGCCUUCGGGUUGUAAAGCCCUUUUGUUGGGAAAGAAAUCCUGUCGAUUAAUACUCGGUGGGGAUGACGGUACCCAAAGAAUAAGCACCGGCUAACUUCGUGCCAGCAGCCGCGGUAAUACGAAGGGUGCAAGCGUUACUCGGAAUUACUGGGCGUAAAGCGUGCGUAGGUGGUGGUUUAAGUCUGCUGUGAAAGCCCUGGGCUCAACCUGGGAAUUGCAGUGGAUACUGGGUCACUAGAGUGUGGUAGAGGGAUGCGGAAUUUCUGGUGUAGCAGUGAAAUGCGUAGAGAUCAGAAGGAACAUCCGUGGCGAAGGCGGCAUCCUGGGCCAACACUGACACUGAGGCACGAAAGCGUGGGGAGCAAACAGG